CCAAAAAAGGAAAAUCAGGUCGGUCUUCCGUCUUUUUUCCUUGUCUCUUUUUUUCCAACUUUCUUUCGUCGUUUCUUCA
rnacentral:ribozyme from 16 species